CAGGAUAGUGCGUCACUGCGGGCGCGCCUCGCUGGCCUCCGGGUCUGGGCUGCUAUCGCGGGAGGGACCUGACCGCACCGGAGCGGGUAGCUCAGCUUCGGGUUAGUGCGGACAGUCAUGUUAUUUUUAAAAUUACGUAAAUCACAUUAUACUGGCCAAAGCACAGAAGGAGAGAGGAAGAGAGAAACAUCAAUGGGAAUCGGCUUCCUCCUGCACACCUGAGCUGGUAACCCAGGCCUGUGACCUGCCCAGAAUAGAACUGGUGACCUCCAGUGCAUGGGCCAAUGCUCAACCAACUGAGCCACACAGGCUGGGCCUCUGUUUCUUUGUAGCACUUACCACAAUGUAUAAUUUAAGAAUUCUCACACAAAUAUGUAUAUAAUGUAUCUUACUUUCCAGACUGUAAUCGAAAGCUCUCUAUUUCUUUUAUUCAUCACCUAGCACCAUGUUUUAGCAUUGUUGUCCUUAACACUCAACUUAAAAUAUUUACAUAUAUUUGAAUGAUUAAAGAAAUCUUGUGUAAAUUUGACUUAAAUGAAGAACCUAGAAGCAAUGAUGAGUUUCCAUAAGACUUGAUUAUUUAGUACCAAGCCACUCAACCUUCCUUCUCUCUACUGCCACUUAAUUUAAAUUCUGACUAGUCAUUGUGGUAUUCCUACAUAUGCAAGAAUCAUUAUUUAGUUUGAUGAUUCAUCAUGACUCCGUCAGGAUUCUCACUUCUACAAAGUUGUCGACAGCCAGUCAUCUUUCCUACACCAGCCUUAGAUGUCCUUUCCAGAGUACCCAGAGUGAGCAUUCUUUAAAAUCACAGAUCACAUGUUCAACUGAAUUGUUAUCAUCAUGAUGUUUUCAUAAUUUUGCAGUAGUAGGAGAUUACUAUCAACAUCCAGAAGUUCACACAAAAAUGAUAACUUCAACAUUUUAGUCAUGUGGUAAUUGACCACAUGUCCUGCAUCAGCAUGACUGAUGACCAAGCUUUUCUUCUUGGCUACAGUAGAUUUUAAAAGAAAAAGGUAGGAAAGAUUCUAGAAUAGGAAGGGAAAAGAAAGGAAACUAACAUUUAUUGAGCAUACAUUAUGUGCCAGAUAUCAUAUAAAUACUUAUUCUCCUUCAGUCCUCACAACAACCCUGUGAGGUAAGUAUUAUACCCAUUUCAUCCUUUUUCAGACAAUGUAGAUUAUUUAAUUUUUCUAUCUUUCAUUCACUUUUAUCCUUCCUACUAUAGAGAUUCUGGCAGUUGUAUAUCUGAAGAGCCUACUUUCACUCAAUAAAUAUUAAUUUAAUGGAAUAAGUUUCACAGAAUCAAUGGAUAAUUGAAAUCAGAAACUAUUAUCCUUCUAUCUUGAAUAUACUUUGCGAGGCCUUGAUAAAGACCUGGCCUACUAAGUAUUCUUACUUGGUUUCCACCUUUCAUAUUUAUUAAACACACACAGUAUAUCAUUCAUGUUCCUAACUGACUCUAGGCUCAGUCUCCUUAAUCUUAUAGGGACCAGGAAGCAAGCCUGAUCAACAAUAUAUAUUGAAUGCUCUUAAUCAUAAAAUGACCUCUCCAUCUUCUGGUUAAAAAUAGCAUAAACAGAGUUCACUUACCUCAGCAUUAGAUAAAAGGGGCCAUCUUUCUCUUACCUGUACCCAGGGGAAACUCGGAAAUCUUCCUUCGUGGUUCUCCUCUAGCCCUGCAUGAAGGGAUCAUUACUGUGGAACUUUAUGUCUUCCCUCCACCUUCUCUUUGAAGGAUGACCUUGGUUCACGUCUAUAUCCCUGAGCAAAUAGGACCUUUAAUUUUCUUUCUCAUCAAUUCCUUUUGGGGCUUUCUAUUUCCUCAUGUGAUUCUAAUUUCUCUGGACCUUAUAAUAGUCUAGAUAAAAGCAUGUUUCAGGAGGAAACUAGCCAGUGGUAGGAUGUACCAGCUUAUUUGUGCCAUA